rnacentral:rRNA from 1 species
GGCGGCACGUAACCAUGCAAGUCGCACGGAUGGGGGAGACCCCAUUAGUGGCGGACGGGUGAGUAAGGCGUAGGUAUCUAUCCUUGGGUGAGGGAUAACUGUGGGAAACUACAGCUAAAGCAGCAUGAUCCCUGAGGGGCAAAGGCGCAAGUCGCCUGAGGAGGAGGCCUGCGUCCGAUUAGCUAGUUGGUGGGGUAAAGGAGUACCAAGGCUGCGAUCGGUAGCUGGUCUGAGAGGAUGAUCAGCCACACUAGGACUGAGACACGGCCCAGACUCCUACGGGAGGCAGCAGUGGGGAAGAUUGGACAAUGGGCGCAAGCCUGAUCCAGCAAUGCCGCGUGGGUGAAGAAGGUCUUCGGAUUGUAAAGCCCUUUCGGCGGGGACGAUGAUGACGGUACCCGCAGAAGAAGCCCCGGCUAAAUUCGUGCCAGCAGCCGCGGUAAU